UAGAAAGUUCAUAUUCUUCGGUCAUUGAUAAACAAUUUGUUGGGCAAUACUCAACACAAUUACCACAAAAUAUACAGAUUCCAAAAUCAAUACUGUAAUUCAGCAAUCGUUUCUUUCGAAUAUCAGUUUCCAACUUCCAAUCAACAACGGGUAAAUCUAUAGGACAUACACGCACACAUACCUCACAAGCAAUGCAUUUAUCAAAUUCAAAGUGUAUUCGGCCUCGGAAACGUUCCGAUGUGAUCAAUUUUUCGUAGGGGUAUUGAAUAGUUACAGGUAAACGAUUUGCGUGGGACAGGGUAAUGAUGAAACCUUGGCCGAUGUAUCUGGCGGCUCGUAUUGUUUGUUGACCAUAAUUUAGGAAUUCCGUUAUCAUAGGGAGCAUAUGUUGAAUAUCUAUAAAAAAGAUUUUAUGCUUGUUUCUUUCUCUUGUUUGAGACAAGUCGUGAAUCUAGGAUAUUGUGGUCUUUUACAGUGAAAGAAGUUGGAACGAGGUUGUCAAUAAUAGAUUACCUAGAGAAAUCGGUAAAAGAAAUUUCCACCUAAGAUUUAAUAGUUGGUCCAUUCUCAGCCUCGGUAAGGUCCAUCUUGUUGCAAUAGGAAUGAACAAAAACAAAUAAGUUUUGGCUAGUGUGAUAAAAAUACCAAUUAGUCUUCUAAAGACUUUAGCCCUUUUAUUUAUGCCAAAUAGCUCAGGAACAAAUAUGUACAGAAUAGAAAGAUUCCAACCUCCCAAGUAAAGAACUGUUACAAAUAAUGAAGAAACUAGUAGAUUCAGAUAUGAAACAAUGUAAAAUAAACCAAAUUUGAUACCUGAAUAUUCGGUAUGAUACCCUGCUACUAAUUCUUCUUCUGCUUCUGGUAAAUCAAAAGGUAAUCUUUCACACUCGGCGAGAGAUGAAAUUAGAAAAAUGAUAAAAUUGAUGGGUUGACACCACAAAUUCCACCCCAAAAAACCAUAUUUUGACUACUUUUCCACUAUAUCAACUGUACUUGAAUGUUAGAUAAUCAUGGUCGAUGAUAACAUCACCAUGCCUAUGGCUAUUACGGAGCUGUAUGUGAGAUUUUUACCUCAUACGGCUCCUUAGAGGUCACAAAUAAAUCUAAGGGCUCUUUCCUAUUCUUUAUCUGCUAUAUUUAAAAUUAAUAAAUAAGUGCUUUUGAAUUUAUCUCAUCUUUUAAGAAUUUUAAUUUGGAUUUGUUGAUUAAUAACCAUAUCAUUAAAUAAAAUAAAAAAUAUGCUUUAUAGCAAUAUCACAUAUACAUGUCAACCUCAAAUUUUCAAUUACGAAAAAUAUUAGAGAGUUGAUUAGUUCAUGAAUCAUGACAAAAAUUUGAUCUCUCUAAAUAGAAAUCAAAAUUAAAUUAUAGGAAAGAAAGAAUAAGAACAAAAAAAGAAAAAGAAAGGAAAAAACAACGACAUCUCUCCUUUUUUUUUCAAUUAGAUUCUUUUCUUUCUAUUUUGAUUUCUUUUAUUUCAUUCCUAUUCUCCUUUCUCAGAAAAAGUGUCUUUAACCAAAGUAAAAGAUUAAUUCAUUCGUGAUAGUUAUUUACUUACUCAGUGAAUAGGAAUAUACUCUGGAUCAGAAUCAUGGGGAGUACUUCUUCAUCAUUUCUACGAAUGUAAAACACCAAUUUGAAUUCCUUUUAUGUACAUAAAUAUCCUCUUGGAUAACUUACGUAAUCUCAAUUAUUAAUCCUUUGUGUAUCUUGGUCUUCAUAACCAUCCACUUAUUUUUUCUUUCAAAAACCUGCUGUUGUGGAAAUCUAUCUAUGGUAAUAGACAAAAAAAACUUCAUACAGUUGAUCUUUUGAACCCACUUCAAGUUAUCAUGAUAAUUCACGAAUCUUGGGGUAAACAAUCUCUAUNAAAAGGCCGAAUAAAUUGGAUUGGGAAGUAAUACCACUCCUAGACCCCCUAAUAUAAGACCCGAUCCUAGAAAGACUAAAAGAAAAUCAUGUAUUGGUUCAGAUAAAUCCAUUUUUUAUAAAAAAUCAAAAACGAAGAAUUUCAUGACUUUAUUGACCUGACCAGGAAAAAAGCAGUUUUUCUAUUUUUUAUGAUACUUUGAAAUUGUUAAUUGAAUGAAAUUCUAAUGGGUAUAAAUUGCGGUGGAUGCUUUUAUUUUAUUGGACCACUAUCCAUUCUUUACUCGUCGAAAGAGUAGUUUAAACCUAUCUAUUUUUGAUAUCAUUUAUCUACUUUGAAACCAUUACUAUUUUACUAUUAUCUAUUAUAAUAUAUAAUAUGGAAAUCAAUUUUGUUUUCAAUCUAAAUUAAGCUAGUAGUCUCAUUAAGCAACCACUAGUUUGAAUUGCCCAAGCAAAAAUCUCAUUGUUUUAGAUCCGAACUAAGCCUUCGUAAUUCGUAAUUUUUUUGAAUCGAAUUAAGGGUUUAUUCAUUCUUUAUUUGAGGUAAAUUCAAAAUUGUUCGAAUUGUGUAAUCAUCAAUUACUGACAUUGGUAAGCGACCCAAAGCGAUUUGAUUAUAAUUCAAUUCGUGACGAUCAUAAGUAGAAAGUUCAUAUUCUUCGGUCAUUGAUAAACAAUUUGUUGGGCAAUACUCAACACAAUUACCACAAAAUAUACAGAUUCCAAAAUCAAUACUGUAAUUCAGCAAUCGUUUCUUUCGAAUAUCAGUUUCCAACUUCCAAUCAACAACGGGUAAAUCUAUAGGACAUACACGCACACAUACCUCACAAGCAAUGCAUUUAUCAAAUUCAAAGUGUAUUCGGCCUCGGAAACGUUCCGAUGUGAUCAAUUUUUCGUAGGGGUAUUGAAUAGUUACAGGUAAACGAUUUGCGUGGGACAGGGUAAUGAUGAAACCUUGGCCGAUGUAUCUGGCGGCUCGUAUUGUUUGUUGACCAUAAUUUAGGAAUU
rnacentral:lncRNA from 1 species